rnacentral:rRNA from 1 species
GACAGAGGGUGCAAACGUUGUUCGGAAUUACUGGGCGUAAAGCGAGUGUAGGCGGUUUCCUAAGUCAGGUGUGAAAGCCCCGGGCUCAACCCGGGAAGUGCACUUGAAACUGGGAGGCUAGAGUAUCGGAGAGGUUGGUGGAAUUCUCGGUGUAGAGGUGAAAUUCGUAGAUAUCGAGAGGAACACCGGUGGCGAAGGCGGCGACCUGGUCCAUUACUGACGCUGAGGCGCGACAGCGUGGGGAGCAAACAGG